rnacentral:rRNA from 1 species
AAGAUUAAACUGAAGAGUUUGAUCAUGGCUCAGAUUGAACGCUGGCGGCAGGCCUAACACAUGCAAGUCGAGCGCGAAAACACUUCGGUGUGAGUAGAGCGGCGGACGGGUGAGUAAUGCUUGGGAAUCUGCCCAGUAGUGGGGGAUAACGUGUGGAAACGCACGCUAAUACCGCAUACGUCCUACGGGAGAAAGCAGGGGAUCUUCGGAC